GUGUGUGUGUGUGUGUGUGUGUGUGUGUGUGUGAAUAUAUAUAUAUAUAUAUAUAUAUAUAUAUAUAUACACACACAUAUACAUAAACACACAA